UACGAAGGGGGCUAGCGUUGCUCGGAAUUACUGGGCGUAAAGCGCACGUAGGCGGCUUUCUAAGUCGGGGGUGAAAUCCUGGAGCUCAACUCCAGAACUGCCUUCGAUACUGGAGAGCUUGAGUGCCGGAGAGGGUCGCGGAAUUCCCGGUGUAGAGGUGAAAUUCGUAGAUAUCGGGAGGAACACCAGUGGCGAAGGCGGCGACCUGGACGGACACUGACGCUGAGACGCGAAAGCGUGGGGAGCAAACAGG
rnacentral:rRNA from 1 species